ACAAAAUAUAUAUUUUCAACACCGAAGGCUUGAUACUGUGGCAGAUUUAUUGCACAAAAUGUAGACCUUUAGUCAGAUUUAAAAAUGUCAAUCUCUAUGUUUUUUUUAGGAGUAGCAGGCCAACACUCAUCUGUCCAAGUGCAGGAAGGUGCAGCAUGAGCUGGAGGAGGCUGAGGAGCGCGCUGACAUCGCAGAGUCCCAGGUCAACAAGUUGAGAGCGAAGAGCCGUGACUCUGGCAAGGGAAAAGACGCAGCUGAGUAAAGAACUUGAGCUGAUGGGCUGUUUGUAAUCAUAUAAUAUUAUGUGAAAUAUACCACAAUAAAAAAGAUUUUUAUUUUAAA